AGAAUCACCUUCCCAACAUCUGAGAACUAGAGAGAGAGAGAGGGAAGGAGAGAGAGAGGGGUGCGGAGGUGAGAGAGAUGGACCAUGAGGACUAUGAGAGACACUGUUACAGUGAGAUGUGGAUAUGUUUGUAUGUGAGUGUAAAUGCAUUAGCUGUAAGAAAAAACAGCCCUGGGCUAGCACCAACCUUAGCCCUGGGCUAGCACCAACCUUACCUCUGGGCUAGCACCAACCUUAGCCCUGGGCUAGCACCAACCUUAGCCCUGGGCUAGCACCAACCUUAGCUCUGGGCUAGCACCAACCUUAGCUCUGGGCUAGCACCAACCUUCAGCCCUGGGCUAGCACCAACCUUAGCCCUGGGCUAGCACCAACCUUAGCUCUGGGCUAGCACCAACUUCAGCUCUGGGCUAGCACCAACUUCAGCCCUGGGCUAGCACCAACCUUAGCUCUGGGCUAGCACCAACCUUAGCUCUGGGCUAGCACCAACCUUAGCUCUGGGCUAGCACCAACCUUAGCCCUGGGCUAGCACCAACUUCAGCCCUGGGCUAGCACCAACCUUAGCCCUGGGCUAGCACCAACCUUAGCCCUGGGCUAGCACCAACUUCAGCCCUGGGCUAGCACCAACUUCAGCCCUGGGCUAGCACCAACCUUAGCCCUGGGCUAGCACCAACGCCAGCCCAGGGCUAGCACCAACUUCAGCCCUGGGCUAGCACCAACUUCAGCCCUGGGCUAGCACCAACCUUAGCCCUGGGCUAGCACCAACCUUAGCCCUGGGCUAGCACCAACGCCAGCCCAGGGCUAGCACCAACUUCAGCCCUGGGCUAGCACCAACUUCAGCCCUGGGCUAGCACCAACCUUAGCUCUGGGCUAGCACCAACUUCAGCUCUGGGCUAGCACCAACUUCAGCCCUGGGCUAGCACCAACUUCAGCCCUGGGCUAGCACCAACUUCAUCCCUGGGCUAGCACCAACUUCAGCCCUGGGCUAGCACCAACCUUAGCUCUGGGCUAGCACCAACUUCAGCUCUGGGCUAGCACCCACUUCAGCCCUAGGCUAGCACCAACUUCAGCCCUGGGCUAGCACCAACUUCAGCCCUGGGCUAGCACCAACUUCAGCCCUGGGCUAGCACCAACUUCAGCCCUGGGCUAGCACCAACUUCAGCCCUGGGCUAGCACCAACCUUAGCUCUGGGCUAGCACCAACUUCAGCCCUGGGCUAGCACCAACGCCAGCCCAGGGCUAGCACCAACGCCAGCCCAGGGCUAGCACCAACUUCAGCUCUGGGCUAGCACCAACUUCAGCUCUGUGCUAGCACCAACUUCAGCCCUGGGCUAGCACCAACUUCAGCCCUGGGCUAGCACCAACUUCAGCCCUGGGCUAGCACCAACUUCAGCCCUGGGCUAGCACCAACUUCAGCCCUGGGCUAGCACCAACGCCAGCCCAGGGCUAGCACCAACCUUAGCCCUGGGCUAGCACCAACUCCAGCCCUGGGCUAGCACCAACUUCAGCCCUGGGCUAGCACCAACUUCAGCCCUGGGCUAGCACCAACUUCAGCCCUGGGCUAGCACCAACCUUAGCCCAGGGAUGGCACCAACCUUAGCCCAGGGCAGGCACCAACCUUAGCCCUGGGAUAGCACCAACCUUAGCCUGAGGCUAAGCAAGUGUUCACACUUGUACAUUCUAAAUUGGACUAGCACCAAACUUAGUCCACGGCUAGCACCAAACUUAGUCCACGGCUAGCUGGCCCUACUCAGGAGCAGGGUUAGCACAGACUUUUCGGGGUUAGCCCCAGAAACACAGUGCCAAAAUAGCAAAUGUGAAACAGGGUCACGAACAAUACCUAGAAUACUUACUGUUCAAUCACAAAAGCGGCACUUUCACUUAAUCAGCAUAUGCUGGUGACGCUUGUGAAUCCUCUAAUGUGUUCUGCGCGGUAUUUUAAGAAGUAAAAUUCAUACUAUUUCAUCCUUCCACCUGAGGACAAAAACCCUACUGUAUGCAGGCUGGCUAACUUCUUCUCUCUUAGCCAACUAAAGCUACACAUUCUACAGCUAGAAGGGCGGCAAACACUCCCUUUCCCCCUGUUGUCCUAGCUGUUCUAUUGACGUUUAAUUGUAUAUACUGUAUCCAUGAAAAUAACGUUGCGUGAUUUCGAAUUCGGUCAAAAAAGUUAAUGUCUCAUUAGUUCACAUUCUCUGUUCAGGGGAGGGAUGGAAUUUCAAAAGUGAAAGAUUGUUUUGGACAGGCAGACAACCAAAGUUUAUAAAAAAACUAUCACUAUUGGAAAUCAAAUGCUAGGCUAGAAGCAAGAGGAAAUAAUGUGUUAAUCAAUGUCUUAUUGCUUAUAAUGGGGCCGGUUUAGCAUGGGGCCGGUUUAGCAUGGGGCCAAACUAGCAUGGGGCCAGUCUAGCAGGGCUAGCACCAACCUUAGCCCUGGGAUAGCACCUGGGUCUACCAUGGUCUAGCAUGGGGCCAAACUAGCAUGGAGCCAGUCUAGCAGGGCUAGCACCAACCUUAGCCCUGGGAUAGCACCUGGGUCUACCAUGGUCUAGCAUGGGGCCGGUCUAGCAUGGGGCCAGUCUAGCAUGGGGCCAUUCUAGCAUGGGGCCAGUCUACCCCAAGGCCAGUCUAGCAUGGGGCCGGUCUAGCAUGGGGCCUGUCUAGCAUGGGGCCGGUCUAGCAUGGGGCCAGUCUACCCCAAGGUCAGUCUAGGAUGGGGCCAGUCUACCCCAAGGCCAGUCUAGCAUGGGGCCAGUCUAGCAUGGGGCCGUCUAGCAUGGGGCAGUCUAGCAUGGGGCCAGUCUAGCAUGGGGCCAAUCUAGCAUGGGGCCAAACUAGCAUGGGGCCGGUCUAGCAUGGGACCGGUCUAGCAUGGGGCCAGUCUACCCCAAGGCCAGUCUAGCAUGGGGCCAGUCUAGCAUGGGGCCAGUCUAGCAUGGGACCAGUCUAGCAUGGGGCAGUCUAGCAUGGGGCCAGUCUAGCAUGGGGCCAAUCUAGCAUGGGGCCAAACUAGCAUGGGGCCGGUCUAGCAUGGGACCGGUCUAGCAUGGGGCCAGUCUACCCCAAGGCCAGUCUAGCAUGGGGCCAGUCUAGCAUGGGGCCAGUUCUAGCAUGGGGCAGGUCUAGCAUGGGGCCGGUCUAGCAUGGGGCCAGUCUACCCCAAGGCCAGUCUAGCAUGGGGCCAGUUUAGCAUGGGGCCAGUUUAGCAUGGGGCCGGUCUAACAUGGGGCCGGUCUAGCAUGGGGCCAGUCUAGCAUGGGGCCAGUCUAGCAUGGGGCCAGUCUGGCAUGGGGCCGGUCCAGCAUGGGGCCGGUCUAGCAUGGGACAGUCUAGCAUAGGCCAGUCUACCCCAAGGUCAGUCUAGCAUGGGGCCAGUCUAGCUUGGGGCCAGUCCAUCAUGGGGCCAGUCUACCCCAAGGCCAGUCUAGUAUGAGACCAGUCUAGUAUGGGACCAGUCUACCCCAAGGCCAGUCUAGUAUGGGUCCAGUCUAGUAUGGGACCAGUCUACCCCAAGGCCAGUCUAGUAUGGGACCAGUCUAGUAUGGGACCAGUCUACCCCAAGGCCAGUCUAGCAUGGGGCAAGUCUAGCCCAGGGCUAGUCUAGCCCGAGGUCAGUCUAGCCCGGGGUCAGUCUAGCAUGGGGCCAUCUAGCAUUGGGCCAGUCUAGCAUGGGGCCAGUCUGUCCCGGGGCCAGUCUACCCCAAGGCCAGUCUAGCAUGGACCAGUCUAGCAUUUGGCCAGUCUAGCAUGAGGCAAGUCUAGGGUACCAGUGGGUCAUUCUAUAAACUAGGGUACCAGUGGGUCAUUCUAUAAACUAGGGUACCAGUGGGUCAUUCUAUAAACUAGGGCACCAGUGGGUCAUUCUAUAAACCAGGGUCCCAAUGGG